GGUCAAGUUCCACAGGGCACAACACCCUGCCCUUCCCCACCACCUUACCACUGGUGAGCCCACACCAUAGAUUAGAUAGAUAUUUUUUAGGUAUCAUUUACGUCCACACGUGUACUCUCUGUAUGGGGACACAGAGACUAGAGAAGACCCUGGACUGGAAUAUCCACUCUUCCUGGGUUUCCCACUAGCCACUGCACAGGACAGGAGGUGUAUUCUCCACUGGCAAGAUGUCUCUCAAGACCACCCUAACACAUCUCAAGGCACCUGCAGGAUAACGAUCAACAUACUGACCUAAGCCUAUAUGAGUGCCUCAUGGCUGGAUCCUGACUGCAGGUGCUCAUUAAAACUGCUGAAUGAAAACUCAGCCACCCUCCACAUUUUCAACCUUGGGUGUGGGGGACAUUUUGCAGUGGCAGCAUCAUAGCU